GUUAGACAGUACAGAGACAGGUCAUUAAGGAGCAGGUAGGGGUUAGACAGUAUAGAGACAGGUCAUUAAGGAGCAGGUAGGGGUUAGACAGUACAGAGACAGGUCAUUAAGGAACAGGUAGGGGUUAGACAGUACAGAGACAGGUCAUUAAGGAGCAGGUAGGGGUUAGACAGUACAGAGACGGGUCAUUAAGGAGCAGGUAGGGGUUAGACAGUACAGAGACAGGUCAUUAAGGAGCAGGUAGGGGUUAGACAGUACAGUGACGGGUCAUUAAGGAGCAGGUAGGGGUUAGACAGUACAGAGACAGGUCAUUAAGGAGCAGGUAGGGGUUAGACAGUACAGAGACAGGUCAUUAAGGAGCAGGUAGGGGUUAGACAGUAGAGAGACAGGUCAUUCAGGAGCAGGUAGGGGUUAGACAGUACAGAGGCGGGUCAUUAAGGAGCAGGUAGGGGUUAGACAGUACAGAGACAGGUCAUUAAGGAGCAGGUAGGGGUUAGACAGUACAGAGACGGGUCAUUAAGGAGCAGGUAGGGGUUAGACAGUACAGAGACGGGUCAUUAAGGAGCAGGUAGGGGUUAGACAGUACAGAGACAGGUCAUUGAGGAGCAGGUAGGGGU
ensembl:lncRNA